AUGAUUACGAGCAAUUCGCCAGGAUAAGCUACUCCGCACACUAAAAUAUUACCUGAUUUUAUUGCGAAAUAAAAGUGAAACUGCUCUAUUUAAACAAGGAUUUCGCAAAAUCAUCAUAAAACUAGAAAAAGGCUUUUUGACAUAUACGGUGAUAUAUAAAUCUUUCGAGAAUGACACUCGACUUGACGAGAUUUAUUCGAGAUGGAGAUGAAUGGAAACUUGAAACAGCUUCACGAAAAUUCACGAUCGUGAUUCAGGAUCGAUCGAGGCAAUUCUGCACGAGUGCCGUCUUAAACUAAGUUUCAACUAAGUAAAACUUAAUAAAAAAUCUUGUCCAAUGA